CUGGGGCUGAAGGGAAACCGUGUAACAACAGCCUUUGCUCCUCUGCUUGCUCUCACUUUCUCUUUCUCUCCGUCCCACUCCUGAGGCCGUGCUGGCCUAAGCAGCUAGGAAUUCAGAAAAAAAGCUCCUGCUUCCUGGCCUGCUUGAGUUCCAGUCCUGACUUCCUUUGGUGAUGAACAGCAACAUGGAAAUGGUAUCUCCCUUCCCAGGACCUAAUUACCACAGGAUCAAGGGGCUUUGCAGAGGACAGCUUGUCCCAAGAAGAAGCAACACUGAAGGGAGCAUCUGUCUCAUUUGAGGACAAAGAUGCAGGCCAAAGGUCAUGCUGAAGGGAGAAGCUGGCUGCAAAAUGGCCUAUGCCAGAACCUGACUAAGGACCUCUCCUCACGGAAGCAUCACCAACGAACAGCUGCCACCCAGUGUACCCCAUGAGGGUGUGCCCCACGUACACUCGCCUGACUCAGCAGCUCUAGGAAGCUGAAAUAAAGAGGAAACUUGAUUCUACCUGCAAACAGACCCCAGAUACUGAGAGAAGUCCCGGCUACUGUUAGCCCUAUGGUGUCUUUGUAGGAAUUCAAAAGCUGGCCCUCCUCUGGACCCACAUGGCAGUGUCAGGGCAUGUGGAUUUGGUGAACAGAAGAUAAGUCGGAUUCAGCCCCAUUUGUCUGCUCUGCUGCUCAAACACAGCUGUGGCUGGCUGGGAGCUCCCAUUUGUGGGCUGAGGAGAGGGCCUGGAAUGUACUCUUGGCAUCAAUGUUGCAAGUCUUGUGACUGUGUUAUCUAAUAUGGUAUAUACUAGCCACAGGUGACAUUUAAGUGUUCACAGAAAUCAAAUAAAAAUCAAACCCCUGUC